GGAUCAUUACCGAGUUUACAACUCCCAAACCCCUGUGAACAUACCUUAAUGUUGCCUCGGCGGAUCAGCCCGCGCCCCGUAAAACGGGACGGCCCGCCAGAGGACCCAAACUCUAAUGUUUCUUAUUGUAACUUCUGAGUAAAACAAACAAAUAAAUCAAAACUUUCAACAACGGAUCUCUUGGUUCUGGCAUCGAUGAAGAACGCAGCAAAAUGCGAUAAGUAAUGUGAAUUGCAGAAUUCAGUGAAUCAUCGAAUCUUUGAACGCACAUUGCGCCCGCUGGUAUUCCGGCGGGCAUGCCUGUUCGAGCGUCAUUUCAACCCUCAAGCCCUCGGGUUUGGUGUUGGGGAUCGGCUCUGCCUUCUGGCGGUGCCGCCCCCGAAAUACAUUGGCGGUCUCGCUGCAGCCUCCAUUGCGUAGUAGCUAACACCUCGCAACUGGAACGCGGCGCGGCCAUGCCGUAAAACCCCAACUUCUGAAUGUUGACCUCGGAUCAGGUAGGAAUACCCGCUGAACUUAAGCAUAUCAAUAAGCGGAGGAAAAGAAACCAACAGGGAUUGCCCUAGUAACGGCGAGUGAAGCGGCAACAGCUCAAAUUUGAAAUCUGGCUUUCGGGCCCGAGUUGUAAUUUGUAGAGGAUACUUUUGAUGCGGUGCCUUCCGAGUUCCCUGGAACGGGACGCCAUAGAGGGUGAGAGCCCCGUCUGGUUGGAUGCCAAAUCUCUGUAAAGUUCCUUCGACGAGUCGAGUAGUUUGGGAAUGCUGCUCUAAAUGGGAGGUAUAUGUCUUCUAAAGCUAAAUAUUGGCCAGAGACCGAUAGCGCACAAGUAGAGUGAUCGAAAGAUGAAAAGCACUUUGAAAAGAGAGUUAAAAAGUACGUGAAAUUGUUGAAAGGGAAGCGUUUAUGACCAGACUUGGACUUGGUUAAUCAUCUGGGGUUCUCCCCAGUGCACUUUUCCAGUUCAGGCCAGCAUCAGUUUUCGCCGGGGGAUAAAGACUUCGGGAAUGUAGCUCUCUUCGGGGAGUGUUAUAGCCCGUUGUGUAAUACCCUGGCGGAGACUGA
rnacentral:rRNA from 1 species